GACGAACGCUGGCGGCGUGCUUAACACAUGCCAGUCGAACGGAAAGGCCCUGCUUUUUUGGUGUUCUCGAGUGGCGAACGGGUGAGUAACAGGUGAGUAACCUGCCCUUCACUUUGGUAUAACUUCAGGAAACUGGGGCUAAUACCAUAUAGGAUCUCCUGCUGCAUUGUGGGGGGUGGAAAGUUUCGGCGGUUGGGGAUGGACUCGCGGCUUAUCAGCUUGUUGGUGGGGUAGUGGCUUACCAAGGCUGUGACGGGUCGCCGGCCUGAGAGGGUGACCGGCGACAUUGGGACUGAGAUACGGCCCAGAGUCGUACGGGAGGCAGCAGUGGGGAAUAUUGCACAAUGGGCGGAAGCCUGAUGCAGAAACGCCGCGUGCGGGAUGACGGCCUUCGGGUUGUAAACCGCUUUCGCCUGUGACGAAGCGUGAGUGACGGUAAUGGGUAAAGAAGCACCGGCUAACUACGUG
rnacentral:rRNA from 1 species